CCCGCACAGCCACGCCCUCCUCGAGGCCCAGCCCCAGCCGCCACGCCGUUCCCGCCCAGAGCAAUAAGUAUUCACCAAUCACAACCUGGCUUUCGGCUCAGACUCCGAGGCCCCGCCCCUUCUACCCUCUCUUGGGCUCAGACUCCGCCCCGAAGUCGGCCCCGCCCAGAACGCGUUGUCCUGGCAACCUCGCUUCCUGGGCGCAAGCUGCCCAAGCGGCGGCGCAAAUCCUGUCCGCUGGCUCCGCCCCUUUGGCCUCUCUAAACGUCUCUCCGCGUGCAGUGCGAGGCCUCUUCCUUUCUCGUGCAAACCCUCUGGAAACCCUGUCCCAGCCCUCCAGCCCCAGCCCUACGCUGACUGUUCUCAAACAUCUCCCUGAAACCUUAGCGCCCCAAAGUUAGUCCAUCCCAAAGGUCCUCGCGCUGCGCCUUCAUUGCAGGUCGGUGCAAGACGUGCGCCCGUCGUCUGCCAGCGUCAGCCCGGAGGCGGCGGGCAAGAUCUUAGCAGGAUGCAGGAGUCCCUGGGCCCAGGAAAACCAUAAUCCCGAGUAUGGCUGAUGGUCCGUAGGAAUGCGCUGGGAUGUGCUCCGACUUCUCACUCGGUGGGAGCGCAAAAUGCGCUUCAGGCGACUCACUUCCGAGUUUCAGUUCCCGUGGGGGCGCUCAGCUAGGCCUGCCAGAUGGGAGAGCCAGAUGUGCGCUCUCCUCGACUAGAUAAAGAGCCUCGGGAUUGGGAAGUGGGGGUUCUGAAGACCGCAAGAGAAGGACUCAGAACAGAGACUCCCUGGAGGCAAGGCCAGACUCUGGGCACAGUGUGAGAUGCUCCACACAGGACAGACUAGAGGAAGGGGAAGAGACAAACCAGCCUCCAGAGGUGACCCUGUGCUCCAGUCUCAGCUGUGAUGACCAGAAGCCUGACCCUUUGCCAGUCGCCCUGCCUGGAACACCUCGCAGGCCUGGUCAGAUCGGAACUCAGUGCAGGAAUGACUUUUUUCUGCAAAGCUUAGACCAGGAGCCUCACCCAGAGCCCUGGCCACGCUGCCUGACCUGAGCCACACCCUGUGUUCCCUGCCUAGUGACUCAGUUGCUUCCCUAGCCCCACCCCUAUUUGAUGCUAAGUACAGCUACCUAGAGUUCGCUCCAGGGACCAGGCACAAAGCCACCAGUGAGGCCCUUCGUGUACAAGGAACUCUCUUCCUAUAGAGCAGGAGAGAAGCCUCAGGCCAUGCGGGGGAUGGGGGGGUUGAUAAGAGAAAGGAAGGCGGGGUUGUGAACAGUCAAAUUGUUGACACAGCUCUGGUAAGUAGUCUUGGUGGUCCCGCAGGUUCCUUAGCCCAUGAGGCUGAGGAAUCUGAGGAUCCCCCCAACCCCCGGGAAGGCGUGGAAACAGUGGAGGAUGAAAGCAGAGCCCCGCCCCCACCCACACUGGGGGCUGAUGGGAUGGAGUGCGACCCUAAGGGAGCGUCUGUCCCAGGAAUAGACGAGGGUCAGCCUUCGGGGAUGGAGGGGACCCGGUAGCCGCCCCAGGGUGCCUGCAGGACUCAGCAGAUAGUUUCAGAGGUCCUCCAGGCCCUCUAGUCUGCCUUCCAUCAUGGGCUCUUGAUUCCUUUCGGGAGCCUGGUCCCUGGUGGGCAGCAAAUGACCACAAGCCCCCUGGACCUUUGAGAUCCUUUCCUGUGGCUUUCAGACUGCCCAUUCGUCUCUGCGGUGUCUCGAACUACUGGGUCAGCUGCCCACAUUCUAGCCAUGUUUCUCAGGCCACCAUCUUGCUGUCCUGAUGCCUGCCACUCAGCGCUGGCAGAGAAAGGCUGGCGGUCCCUUCCCUCAGUCUGACAUUGUAAAGGCAUCCAGCUUUCCCUACCCUGGAACAGUGCUUUUCCUGAACA